UCUGUUUUGUGUGUGUUUUUAACCGGGAUAUGACGCACUAAAGGACCCGACGGAAAUAGAACUGAAAGCGUUCUAAAAUGGCGAACCGCACGGUGAAGGAUGCCCACAGCAUUCACGGCACCAACCCGCAGUAUCUGGUGGAGAAGAUCAUUCGGACUCAAAUCUGUGAGUCCAAGUACUGGAAAGAGGAGUGCUUUGGCCUUACGGCUGAACUUGUAGUUGAUAAAGCCAUGGAGUUAAGGUUUGUUGGUGGCGUCUAUGGUGGCAACAUAAAGCCAACUCCCUUUCUGUGUUUGACCUUGAAGAUGUUUCAGAUUCAACCAGAGAAGGAUAUCAUUGUUGAGUUUAUAAAAAAUGAAGAUUUCAAGUAUGUACGCAUGUUGGGAGCACUUUAUAUGAGGCUGACAGGUACUGCAAUUGAUUGCUACAAAUACUUGGAGCCUCUGUACAAUGAUUAUAGAAAAAUUAAGAGCCAGAACAGAAAUGGAGAGUUUGAACUGAUGCACGUAGAUGAGUUCAUUGAUGAACUACUACUACACAGUGAGAGAGUCUGUGAUAUCAUUCUGCCCCGGCUACAGAAACGCUAUGUGCUAGAGGAAGCUGAGCAAUUGGAGCCCUGGGUUAGCGCUCUAGAAGAGGACAUGGAUGAUGUCGAGUCCAGUGAGGAAGAGGAAGAAGAGGAUGAGAAGUUGGAGAGAGUACCAUCACCUGAUCACCGCCGGAGAAGCUACCGAGACUUGGACAAGCCCCGUCGCUCUCCCACACUGCGCUACAGGAGAAGUAGGAGCUGGUCUCCCAGAAGGCGGAGUCGGUCUCCAAAAAGGAGGAGCCCUUCCCCUCGCCGAGAGAGGCAUCGGAGCAAGAGUCCAAGACGUCACCGCAGCAGGUCCCGAGAUAGACGGCACAGAUCCCGCUCCAAGUCCCCAGGUCAUCACCGUAGUCAUAGACACAGGAGCCACUCAAAAUCUCCUGAAAGAUCUAAGAAAAGCCACAAGAAGAGCCGGAGAGGAAAUGAGUAAUGGACUCAGUUUAGGUUUAGUCCAAAGAGCCUCCUGCAAAUAUGAAGUCAUCUCUCUAUGUGGAAGGACUAAGAUCUACUCCCACGGCAGCUAUAAGACUAUUUUAGGGUGUUUUUGUUUUUUAACCUGAAAGUCCUUUUUUUUGGUAAUGAAAGAGGUGCUUAGUUUUGUAUCUCUUUUUGAAUCCUAAUCCAUACUUGAGGGAUAAUGCUCCCCAAGGGCUGCUUUUGAUCCCUUGUACAACAAACACUGAGGAUUUGGGAAGUGGAGGGUAUGUAUGCCAAGGAGAGGAUAUGGCGGCCUAGUGAUCCUUUCGUUAUUAAAUUUAACAUUCCAAAAAAAAGAAAGAAACUUAUCAGAGAGUUCAGAAUAAUAAUGGCAAAGAUGCUCAACAGCAUGAGAAAAGGUAUAGCAAUUGUGAAAAAAGACCAGAGGUCUUUAAUCUGGCACAUUAGGAUUUCAGGAGAACACAGACUGGGCAAACCAAACUUACACGGGGUCUUGAAAAUGAAGAAUGAGAUAGCACUAAUAACAUUGGAGCUUGGCCAACAUGGCUCAGUGGUUGAGUGUCAACCUAUGAACUAGGAGGUUACAAUUCA